GGCACCUGCUCCAGUGUUCGCAUGUUCACCGUAAUAUAGAGUGCUCAGUGCAAAGUUUCCGCUCCACUCAGACCAACCUGUAGAAACAACACCAGUUUCACUCCAACCGUAAGUACGUAAAUAUAAUCCAGUUAUAACAGUUACUCAUGUUAUAUUUUUUUUUCUAUUUUUAGAUAUUAGUUUCAGAAAUCUUUAUUUUUAUUUAUUUUAAUUACAAAAAAUUAUACAAAUUUUUAUUAUUUUUAUUUAAAUAUUAAAUAUUAUUUUAAAAUCUUAAAAUUGAUUUUAAAAUUAAACAGGUCUAAAAUGUGUAAGUUGUCAAAUAAAUAAUAAUUAUACCCGUUCAAUAUGAUAAAAGUUAUUUUUAGGGUAAGUUUAGUUUUUCUUAUCUUUUAAUUAUUUCUUUCUCUUUUUCUCUCUGUCCCCAGACACCACCAAAGGGCACGCAGACUCCUGUAGAGAGUUAUUAUAUAUCCUUUUGAACAUCCCCAUCUUGCUAAGAAGAGUGUGAAUAGUUAUAUAUUUUAUUAAUUCUUGUUAUUUUUCUCUCUUUUUAUUCUAUUGUAUCAUACCUAAAUUAUUUUUAUAUAUACGUUCUCUUACUUUGCUGUGUACACCUAAAAUCAUUUUAUAACUCCAUUUUUUUAAUUAAAAAUACUUAGAGAACUUCCUUUUCACUUAAAACUUAUUGUCAUACACUUUUACCAUAAAAAAAUUCUCUCUUACCAAUUAUCAAGUGGUAGCAAGGAGUCAAAACAUAAUUAUUAGUGUCCACUAUAGUUUUUUUUUUUUUUCCCUUCUAGCAAUUGUACUUGCAUGAUGAAGAAAGAUAAAGAGUCCCACUUUAACCCUAGUCUUUCUCUCUCAUCGUACGGUCUAUCAUCGGAGAAUAUGAAAGUUUCUAACUUGACCGUCUAAUCUAAUUUGUGCAAAAGAAAGUAAUAAAGGACACGGGAUGUGGGCCUUACCCAACGAGUAACCCUUAUCUCAUGUCUCUCUCUAUUGUUUAGAUUUUUCUAUCUUAUAUCAAAGUAAAAAUAAACCUAAAUAACUCUAUCAAAUGAUAUGAGUAAACCAUCUUUAAAAAGAUAAGGAAAUUGUUAUAUAGAGUUUUGUAACUUCAUUUUUACUUGAGAUAUAACCCUUAUGUAUUAUGGAAUAUUGAUGCAGUUAUAGAGUAUGAAGAAAAAUGGUGAACCUGCGGGGUUAAUCAAGCCAUCAAGGGCACUCUUCAUGAUCACAGUCCUUGAGUACUUUUGCCAGGGGCGACCCAGAUAGGUUUUAAAAGAGCCCUGCACCGCUUUCAGGUCCCCAGCUGCGGUGAUGAGACAGUUAUGGAUGAUGAUGCCUGUGUUCUCAUUAGGGUCGGUUCUUCCUUGUGCUGUAACCGUGUUCUGCUGGUUGCUCAUCGGCUUCCUCACGUAGAUGUUGCAGUUUUGAAGCACCGACACGGCGUCACCGAAAAUGAAGUCUAAGGUUCCGUAUAUGUCACAGUCACGGUAGAAUUGGCGGUUGGCGUACACGUAUAAGGUGUCUUGGUACCCCUUAAAGCUGCACCGAUAAAAUACCGAGUGGUCGGAUCCGGAACGGAGAGCCACCGCUUGGUGCUUUUGCGGUCCGGCGGUAUUUUCGAAGGUGAUGUCCCGAGCAAUGAAGCCGUCUCCAGAAACCGCUGCAAUAAUCAUCAACGGUUUUAACUUUUUACUAGUGAGUACGCAUAAAAGUUAAAGAUGCAAAAUAAAAUAAAAAAAAAGCUUUUUAUUUUCUUUUGUCUUUAUCAUGGAGAGAUAUUUUCACCGAGUUAAAGUGAAAAUAUUUUUGUUUGUGUCACUUUUGAAAUAAUAAUAAUAA
rnacentral:lncRNA from 1 species